UUUUACGAUUAUGAACGGUUGUGUAGGUUGUUGUUGGCAACGAGCAAUGUGGGCGAGGUAAGGGCAGGGAAGAGAAGAAGCAACCGGAGAAUUCAUCACCUGAUUCUCCUUCCGAUUCUGACUCUGUUGGAAUGGGAAUGGCAAAGUUAAAUAUUGGCGUUGAUAAGUCAUCAGCAGCCGCAGCAGUAGGAGAGGGAGGGUUCGAUAUAUGUCCCCGUAAACAACCUGGAAGCGUGGUUCUGAAACCUCCAUUGCUUGCACAGAACAGAGAAAGGAGAAGAUCCCGUAGUAGUAAUAACAAUGGCAUUGGGUUGUCGUUGAGGCCUGGGAUGGUGUUUCUGAAGGGUUACCUUUCACUGAGCGAUCAGCAGAAGAUAGUGGAAAGGUGCAGGGAGUUGGGGAUGGGCGUGGGAGGAUUCUACCAGCCUGGCUACGAGGAAGGGACUAAGAUGCAUUUGAAGAUGAUGUGCCUCGGAAAGAACUGGGAUCCUCACACCUCUCAGUACGGAGAACGACGACCAUUCGACGGAGCAAAACCCCCCCAAAUCCCUCCCGAGUUUCAGACAUUGGUCACCAAUGCACUUCGUGAUUCCAACGCCCUCGUUCCUCAAAAUCGCCUUCCCUCCAUCUCGCCCGACAUCUGCAUUGUCAAUUUUUACUCCCAAACUGGCCGUUUGGGUCUUCAUCAAGACAAGGAUGAAAGUGAAGACUCUCUUCGCCGAGGCUUGCCCGUCGUAUCCUUCUCCAUCGGAGACUCUGCACAGUUCCUCUAUGGAGAUCACAGGGAUCCCGACAAGGCAGAGAAACUGCAACUCGAAUCUGGGGAUGUUUUGAUCUUUGGUGGCUCCUCCAGAAAUGUAUUCCACGGAGUUAGCGCUAUUCAUCCAAACUCUGCCCCCAACCUCUUGCUGCAACACACUAAUCUACGCCCUGGUCGAUUGAAUCUCACUUUCAGACAGUACUAAGUUAAUUUCAUAUAUAUGCCUUUCUUUCUAUUCUCGCUAAUCUAUUCUAUCUAUUUUCUAAUGUAGCCUUGUAUGAACUGAAAUGAUGCUCGUAAUGAUAUGCUAAUUUUGUAGCCAUUAUUAUACUUAUGUGUUGUUUUUGCUUUCCAAACUCUGUUCUUACUACACUAUAGCUCGUUAUUUGUUACUUUGCUUGUUUAUCUAUUAUGGAUCCACUCUCUUAUUACUGCCAUUCCGCCACAAUCUUGUAUCCAUCACUUUGUAUGCCGCAAGAUAGAUUCUUUCUCGUCUGGAUUUCCUGUAGAAUCAAGUAUUUUUUUUUUUUACUGGUACGGUUAUUGCAUUUAGUCAAAGUAGCGUUAUUCCUCCGCUGCCACCAUUUGGACUAGAAAACCAUGUCAUAAUUCAACUUUCAAUGUCUUCUAGAGGUCUUUACUUUUUUUUUUAUUUAUAAGAUAAAUUGAAAUUUAAUAUAAAGUCAGCACCUUUGUUAUUUUUUUAUUUUGGGUACAAGUAUAGACCAACAUUGCAUUUCACUCAAACAGAGCAGUCGAAGCAUCCAUUAUCAAUGUUGGCUAAAUGCAUUUAACUAAUAAAUAGCAUUAGAGUUCUACUGUUGCGGAGCUGCUUCUUGACCUUGAAUCAGGCUCGGUUCCCCAAUGCUAAAGCAGCGGAAUCAAUAUGUACAAGCAAACAAGAAUAAACUUUUUGCUUCAAUCUGUCAACAGUCUCCACCAUCCCUUCACUUUCCGUGUUGCAACUGCUCCUCAGUUUGUCCAGCCACUCGUUUGCAUGCUUAAGGUGUGACAGUGUUAGAGCUAUAUUGUUGGCUUGCUCAAUUUGUCUCCCUGCAACAUCCUUAGUAUCCUUGCUCUUCUCACGGGAGCUAACGGAAAACCCAGCAUCUAAUGUCUUUUCCAGAUACAUCAGAAACCACGAUCUUGUUUCAUUUAAAAGUAAUUCUCUCAGCUCGUUGAUCUCUUUCAUACCACCCCCUUUGGCCCAUUCUUGUUUCUCAGUCCCUGAUAGUUCGGUCAAAGGUUUUGAAGACUUUGCCGUGCUUUUAGCUGGCAUCAAACCUGCUGUCGUGCCAGAUUUAUGCUUUUCUAAGGGAGUUGAAAUUCUGUAUAGUUGAAGUGAUUUAUCAUUCAAUUGAGCCGUAGCAUUUGGCUGGUCCAUGAGCUGUUGGAGAGCAAAAAAUUUGCUUAGUGUGGCAUGAGGAUUCUCUGAAGAUGCUAAAGAACAGACGUUGGCGAACAUACUGAAAACCAAAGAUGAAAACGGGUGACAUUUGAGGGACACAUUCAUAGCAAAAGGAACUAUACUUUCAUUUGUAACCCAGAUUAGCUGAUGAAGGUGUUUGAUUACUCCAGAAUGAAUGUAUCGUCUAUGUAUUAACGAGUACCGAGGUUUAGAUUAAAAGACAGUAUAUAUACCUCAGGCAUUUAACAGUGGUUGUUGCUGCAGACAAUUCCUUUUGCGCUUGUACUACAACCUGAGAUGCUAGAUGUUUCCUUCUAAGAAUAACCUUCCAUAAAAGGAAAUAAAGUGGGCAAGGUGAAAAUUAUUUUUAAGUUUUGUAUUAUUGCUAAGUAAAGAAUCAUGUUAAUACACAAAACCCAAAUGUUGUAAUCAAAUUAAAUAUAGUUUGGAUUAAGUUUAACACAUGUUUCAAUGCACAUUUAAUGCUAAUUUGUCAUGCAUUGGAUUGGCAAUUAAUGACAAUAAUCAACGUUUUAAUUUAGUUCAAUAAAGGGACAUGUAAUAAGAAUGUACCUUUCCAGGCCUGAGAAGCUUGGUUGGCAAAGAAGACCAUGAAAUUGUCUCAGCAUUCUUGCUUUUAUCUUUAGCGCGAGACAACAAAUUCAUAUUCAAAUUUUCCUGUUUAGUAGAACUAUUGUGUUUGGCAGAAGUACACACAGAAGAUGUUGUGAUAGCUUUCCGAAUGUUAGAUCGAGUGACGUCUUGCUUUAGUGAAAAUGUUUCAAGUCGAGUGCCAGUUUGAGUCAUCAGAAGCAUCUGUGAUACUAAAAUCUAUUAUUGAAUAAUUUUUAACAUCAGUACCAAAAAUCGAACUCAUAAUUUCUAAUAAGUUCAUUUAAGGUCAAUCAUUCUUGAUUUUAUAUAUCACUCCCACUUUCCCAGUUACUCCAGAGUUACAUAGAACGGAGUUAAAUUCUACAAUAUAACCAUACAUUCUUGAGCCUUUAGGGAACGGAAUCCAGAGCAAGAAUCAUACCUGACCUUUGAUGUCUAGUUGCUUUCCUUUCGCAGUUCCCACCUUUUUACCAUCUGCGCCCAUUUCUAGAUCAUUUCCUUUGCUUCCCACAUUAGCCUCUAACCCAUUAAGCUUUGAGUUUGGAUUCAGAACACCCUGCAUAUACCUGGAUGAAACACCUAGUUUUUCCUCUUUAAUAACAAUCUUCUGACUUGAACUGAAAUUCUCUUUUGCUUCAGUUAAAUCCGUGAAUUUGGAAUCAUUAACUCCAUCACUACGAGGAUGCUCUGAUUGUUCUAACAUCUGCAUUAAGUCCUUGGGAUUGCCUUCAAAAGGAUGGCGUCCAGGGAGUGCUCUAACACCAACAAGAAUAGGGACAGGUGUGCCAGCCUCGAUUCCAUCCACAUAAAAGAAUUGUCCAAGCUGCAGCUUAUUAUUUAAUAUGAGCUCGUUGUCUUCCUUGGAAAGAGAGACAUAGGUUGAAUGAGAAGAGUCGGAAACUUUUAUGAAGAAACCUUGGUUAGGCCAUAAUUCAGAGCCAGAUAGUGCGGGCACGAUGCUGAUCACCUGCAGAAGAACAGAGCGAUAUUCCCCGCGUACUUUUACGUUAGAGUUCAUACUCUGGAGAAGCUUCAGUAGAACUCCAGGCACCAGGGAUGCCAUUCUUCUUCCCCUUUGAGACUCAAAUUGUAAAUGUCAUGCGUUAUACUUUUCAAGUGUCAGUAACAGAAAACUGAAUGUUAUCAUGAGAUCUUUAGUGAACAACAAAAAAGUGAGUAGAAAAAGAGCUUUGUUUGCAGGUGAAGUAAAAGAAAAAGAGUAACCAGAUGGAGAAUGAGCAUAAAGAAGCAAUAGAAUUGAACAUGUAAGAUAUUACUGUUUAAGGGAUGAUUGACGCACAGGACAAUAGAGCGAGCUUCCACAAUGGCUUAACAGAGAACAUGUAAAGGUUUGCAUGAAGGGCACGUAACCAUCCAAUUCUCUUGGCUUCGAAGCCAAGCCAAGGGACCAUCCUAUACUUACAACACAUUCUGUCAGACACAAAAAUGACAAAUCAGCCCCUUUUAUAACGCAGUAUAAAUGAGAUAUUAUUAUGUCUAUCCCUUGGACAUUGUGGUCUUUACGGUGGUAGGGUUCAAUCUGGUAGCGUUUCAUUUUUUAAGUUAGAGGCAAUGUAAACAUUAAGAUAGGUAAGGAUAUUCCCAUGUCAAUUUUUCCUAAGAUCACUUCUCUUUUGUUGAUUCUCAAUAUUAGAGCUUGGUUUAACUUAUUUAAGCAUAUGAUUUACUUAAACACAAAAAACUACGACUGUAUAAACUUGGUUUAAAUCCUUUGUAAAACUAUUUAGUUUAUUUAUUACAACAUUCUAGUUUAAAUGAUACCCUGAAUUAUUGUUAUUAUUUUCAAAACCUUGAACUAAUUUCUCAAAUAAUGAUAAAAAUGCUUUUACACUUUUUAAAAUUUUAAAAUAGACUUAUUAAAAAUUAUUUGAAAUAAUUUUUCAAAACAAAUAAAAUAUAAUACAAAUCCAAAAAAAUACUAACGAGUCACGUAAAACAAAAUACAUGCAUUAUAAGAAAAUAUUAUUUUCCUGACCAAAUUAUGUCGAUGAAAAAAAAUUGUCUUAAAAUUUACAAGCAAAUUUUAACUACAAAUUUUAGGAUUUUAAUUACAGAUAAUGAAUUCAUUAGUAAUUCACAAUUUUUAUUACUAAUCAAUAAUUCUUUCGAUAAAUUUUAUCAUUAAAAUAGGAGUUAAAAUUUUUGUUUUAGGUUUGACCAUAUCGUAAAAAAAAAAUAUCAGUAAUACUUUUUUAAAAACUGUUGGUAAUUAAAUUUGUAAUACAUUAGUCAAUAAUUAAAUUUUGAAACCUUUUUGAUAAAAUGAAGGUUAAUUUUUUAUCAAAUCUAAUUAAAUAUUUGUUAUAAAUUAAAUAAAAAUGAAUAGAAAAAAAAAGAAAGAGAAAAAAAGUGACAAACUCACUUCCUCUCACAAAUGAAUUAGAUUUUAAAUUAAUUUAACUUUACUUGACUUGUUAAAUAAAAUUUAUACCUACUUAUAUAUAUUAUUAACUUUAUCUCUACUUGGUAAGAAUGAUUUUAAUAAAACAUUUUCUCUCGUUAUUAAACUUUGUUAUCAUAUGAUUGGUCAUCACACUUGCUAAUAACUGAAAAUUUCUUCAAGUAGACCUAAUGUUUUUUGGAACGAUUAUCUUCAAGAAACCAACUACAUGAACAACUCAUAGUUUGAAGGAUCAUGAUAAACUUAACAAAGCCAUGGCCUUAAGCAAACCCAAGACAGUGGGUUUAGAGACUUCCAAGACAAGUAUACUUUAAUAAUUUCUUUUAUAAAACUUCCUUCUUAAUUUAAGAUCUUGAUAAAACUUUUGCUUUAGAUACUACGUAAUUGUAACUAACACCAAAAAUAAUCAUGAAUGAGUAAUCACUUUCAGAACAUAAAAUGGGAAGCAUAAUCAUUUUAAGGUAAACAAACCAAAAUCAUAAAUGUAUUUUGUCCAUAAUAAAACAAAUGAUUAAAGAGUAAGAACUCUCGUAGAGAUCGUAGAGAGUUUAAGAAAAUAGUGUUUAGAAAGAAUGUGAAUGUUUAAGAUAAUGAGACGAGUUUAAGAAAUUUUAUUUAUUUAAUCAACUUAUUUUUAAAUAAAAUAAUAUUUGAUCUCAUUAUUUUAACAUACUUAUCGAUUUUAAUCUUUUAUUUUCUAGGUUUAUAGUCUUCCAAUCUCUUAUAUGUUCUCUUUUUGUGUUUGAAAAGAAAAAGAAAAUUAAAUGCAAACUUAUUAUUAUAUUUUUAUUUUUCAUUUGUUUCAUUUUUAUUAAAAAAAAGAUAAACUAAUAUAUGAUUAUUCAUGGAACAAAUACUAGAAGAACUUGAAGAUGAAUCAUUUCAAUUCAAAAGACUUAUAACAAAGUCAAGAAGUCAAAACUUAAAAGAACAAAUCUCUUUAAAACUCAUGAUGUUACCAAAAGCUGAAAACUCAAAAUAUCAAAAUCAAAGCUUAUAGCUUAAUUAUAUAAUAGUUUUCAGUCAUUUAAUUACCUUUGUAAUUUCUUUUAAGUUUUGUAAGUUUAAUUGACAAAUAUAUUUCUUUAGGUGAACAUUUAAUUCUGAUUAUUACAUUUUGAUAAAUUUGUUGACGAAAGAACUUGUUGGGAUACCCGUCAUCGGACAAUGUGUCAAGGUUUGUAUUUAUAUUUUAAAAUUAUUUUACGACCGAAUGCACUUAUGUUUUUAUUUAGAAAUCUUAAAUGUUUAAGUCUAUUUAUAUAUUUUUAAAAGACAUAUAUAAAUAUCUUGAUUGGUCAUAUAUGAAAUUAAUUUUCUUGUAAGUGAGAAUUCUCUUUGUUCUUAUUAUGGAACACUAAUUUUUAUUAAAAAUUGAAUUUUUUUACGACGAAUCUUCCUUCACUUUUGACGUCUAUCAUCUCUAUCUUAUUAUGCAUUCUUCUUUAAUUUAUUCUAUCCAAUAUUUUAUCUAUUUACAGAAAGAAUCCAAACAAAUUAAAAAUAUCACAAUCUUUUAUGAGUAAGAUUGUAUUAAUUCUCUUGUCCUACUUGAUAAUCAGAUACUACUUCCAUAUUAUAGUAUUUUUUUUAUCUCAUUAAACUUUUGUAUAAUAUUUUUUAAUGAUGAUAGAAGGAAAAGUUAACUAUUGUGUGUUUUUUCAUAAUUGGUUGUUAAUUCUGAAUUUAUUUAUUUUUUAAAUCUUGAACUUUGUUAUUAAAUAGUUAUAUUGAUGAAGAAUAAAAUAAUAAAUUCAUUUUUUAAAAGUAAUAAAAGAGAAACUACAUAAGAUGAAAGUAAAACAAAUUCAAUUUCUUUCACCUAUUUUGAAACAUGAUACUAAUAAUUAAAUUGUUCAAUUAGUCCUUAAAAAGAAUAACAAAUGAAGAGUUUUAUAUCAAUACUUUCAAACAUGGGAUCAAAGAUACGGGAAUAUCCAAUAAAUCAAAGAGAUAAAAUUAGAAAAACUUAUUUAAAAUGAGAUUCAUAUCAAAAACAACUUCAAAACUAUCAUUUUUUUAGAAGAAACAUCCAAGAAAAUUUUAAUAUUAAAUUAUGUACUUUUGUUCAAUUAGUGAUAAUGAUUAAAUAUAUAAAUUUUAAAUAUAUUAUUUUGAUCCUUCUAAAAUUGGUGUUUAAGAUUACCCACUUUGGAUGAAAAACCCAAGGUAUAUAUAUCUUUCUCACUCAAUUAUGCUUCCUUUAAGUUGUGAAUUAUCCCUAAAUUAGAAAUAUGGUUAAUAAUUGAUCAUUGUAUUUAUGAGUCUAAUCUUAAAACUAGACAAUCAUUCACUCCUAAUUAUUUAUCAAUAUAAAAAUUUACUUAUAGCCAUUUUUUAUUCCACAGAACUUCUAAUUUUUGUUUUUAUACCAUUCGAUCGGUCAUUUUUCUCUAGGCAUGACAAAUAAAUACGUUUCUAUAGGUAUUGUUUGAAUCCAUCCCCAUAUCUGCUAUAGUAUUCAUCUUGUACCAUUUAAAUAACAAAAAUACUCACAUUUUAUUAGGUAACCAAAAUAAUAAAUAAAUAAAUAAAUAAAUAUAUAUAUAUAUAUAUAUUGUUUUUUUCUUUCUCAGGUUUUAGUUUUAUGAUCCUUUUUUUCUGUUACAUAUUUUCUCUUUCACUUAUAAUUGUUUGAUUUGUUCUAUAUCCAUGAAAUCUACUCACAUUUCUCAGAUAAUUUCUCUCUUAUUAUAAGUGUUGUGUGAUUAUGGGAUUAUGUUCAAAUGUUGUAUUUUUAAUAGAUAAAUAUGUUUUUAAUUUCUUAAUUUUCAAUGAAAAUGAAAAUUAGAAUUAGUCUAUUUUUAAAAUUUUCACCGGUUUCUCAACUUUAAAGCACAUGAAUUUAAUUUUUUUAACCAAAUUUAUUUAAAUUUAUUUGACAAAUUUUAGUUAAAAUAAUUAAAUUCACACAUUUUAAAAAAUGGGACUUUUGGAAAGUGGGACUAAGUUUAACUUUAAUAUUAAUUACAUCUAUCAUAGUUUUAUAAGGUUGUAAUUCUUUUACUUAUAAUAAUAGUAAGUUCAAAUAUAAUAUUUAAUUAAUUGCGACUUUGGUAUAGUCUAUUUCCACCAUUAUAUUUUAUCACAAUUAUGUUAUUAACUUAAGGUUGAAACUUAAUUUUAAUUUAUUGAUUUUUGGAGGAGAAUUGUGAAGUUUUUGAAUGUUGUUUUCUACCUAGUUUACCAAACGAAUUAAAAUUCACCCAAAAAAAAAAGUUAAAGUUGAACGCGAAAUUUCAAUUUUAUGAAUUUUGUCCAAUGAAACAGUGGUAACGUGAGUCCUGAAUUUCGUUCUGCAAAAAUUGCAUAGCAAUUUAAUUUAAUUUUUUCUGAAAAAUCGUAAAAAAAUCAUUUUAAUCAUUUAGUAUUAUGUUUUGAAGAUAAUUUAAUGUCUUUAGUAGACAAUAAAUAUGUUUAAGUGAUAUAUUAAUAGGUGUAAAAUGUUUUAAAUGCAUAACUUAAGCAACAUUUAAUUAAAAAUGUUAUAUUUAUUUAUUUUUAAAAAUUAAAUAUGAAACCGUAAUAAAAUUUAUCCAAGGAAAAUAAUAUCUAAUUCUUAAUUAUUACACGUUACUAUAGACGAGAGAUCUUAUGCUUUCCAUGGUUUUGAAGAAAGGGCAAGCCGAGAAUGCAGUGUAGGAUUUUGAAGACAACGGUUCAUUAUUCAACGUUCAUAAAUCUGUAACGUUGGUUUUAAGACCGUUGGGAGGCAACGGUUCAUUAUGCAACGUUUAGAUUUGUAACGUUUAGAAUUGCAACGGUCAUUUCUUUGAAUGCUUAUAAAUAUAACAUCCAUUUCAUUCUAAGUGCACCACACAAAACACAUCUCAUCUUAUCUUCACUGCGGUGGCUUUGAUGUCAGAGAACUACUUCGUUGGAGUCGUUGGCGGGUAAACAUGAUACUUGUAGCAUAUUUCUGGCUUGUUGAAUUGACUUUUGGCUCAUGCAUUUAAUAUAGCUUGAUGAACUUGCCCAGUAAGCGCUUCUUUUGAGACCUAGCACCACCCUCUGCUCAUGAUUUCUGCAUAAUACUGGUUUGAUGAGUUUUUAUUGAUGCUUGUUUCUUUUGCUCUUUUGAAUUUUACUUAGGGCAACUGAUGAUGUAAAUGAAACUGCUAAGAAUUUUGGCGAAGAAAAGCCUUCUUCAGGUGAUAAUGAUGUUGCUGCUGAUGGAAACAAGGAGAAUCAUGCUAAUGAGGCUGAAGUAAAAAAGAGCCUGAGGAUAAGGUGAUUUUCUCUUCAUCUGCUUUUUGUAUACGUUAAUUUUUGUUUUCUACUUUUUGUAUAUGUAAAGUGAGUUAUAAAUUGUAGGAAUGACAAUCCAAUAAAGUUUAGCUUUGAAAAUUCAUUUAAAAUGUUUUGCUUAAAAUGUUUUUAUUUAAUAUAACAUGUACAUGUGUUUUAUUGUUGAUUGUUUUUAAAUAACCUUGUAAAUUUCAAAUAUAAUUAUUUUUAAAAAAUAUAAAAAUAAUAAUAAAAUUUGAAAGUUAUUGUAAAAUAUAUGUAAUUAGGUCGCUCUCAAUCUACUUCCCCGGUAAUUAAUAUUUUCUUGUGUUUGAAGGUAAUUAGGUUAUUAUUUUUUAAACAAAAUAAUUACUUUGGGGUUUUACGAUUAUGAGCGGUUGUGUAGGUUUUUGUUGGCAACGAGCAAUGUGGGCGAGGUAAGGGCAGGGAAGAGAAGAAGCAACCGCAGAAUUCAUCACCUGAUUCUCCUUCCGAUUCUGACUCUGUUGGAAUGGGAAUGGCAAAGUUAAAUAUUGGCGUUGAUAAGCCAUCAGCAGGAGCCAACAACCUGGAAGCGUGGUUCUGAAACCUCCAUUGCUUGCACAGAACAGAGAAAGGAGAAGAUCCCGUAGUAGUAAUAACAAUGGCAUUGGGUUGUCGUUGAGGCCUGGGAUGGUGUUUCUGAAGGGUUACCUUUCACUGAGCGAUCAGCAGAAGAUAGUGGAAAGGUGCAGGGAGUUGGGGAUGAGCGUGGGAGGAUUCUACCAGCCUGGCUACGAGGAAGGGACUAAGAUGCAUUUGAAGAUGAUGUGCCUCGGAAAGAACUGGGAUCCUCACACCUCUCAGUACGGAGAACGACGACCAUUCGACGGAGCAAAACCCCCCCAAAUCCCUCCCGAGUUUCAGACAUUGGUCACCAAUGCACUUCGUGAUUCCAACGCCCUCGUUCCUCAAAAUCGCCUUCCCUCCAUCUCGCCCGACAUCUGCAUUGUCAAUUUUUACUCCCAAACUGGCCGUUUGGGUCUUCAUCAAGACAAGGAUGAAAGUGAAGACUCUCUUCGCCGAGGCUUGCCCGUCGUAUCCUUCUCCAUCGGAGACUCUGCACAGUUCCUCUAUGGAGAUCACAGGGAUCCCGACAAGGCAGAGAAACUGCAACUCGAAUCUGGGGUUAGCGUUAUUCUGGUGGC
rnacentral:lncRNA from 1 species